GACAGAGGUCUCAAGCGUUGUUCGGAUUCAUUGGGCGUAAAGGGUGCGUAGGCGGCGCGGUAAGUCGGGUGUGAAAUCUCGGGGCUUAACUCCGAAACUGCAUUCGAUACUGCCGUGCUUGAGGACUGGAGAGGAGACUGGAAUUUACGGUGUAGCGGUGAAAUGCGUAGAUAUCGUAAGGAAGACCAGUGGCGAAGGCGGGUCUCUGGACAGUUCCUGACGCUGAGGCGCGAAAGCGUGGGGAGCAAACAGG
rnacentral:rRNA from 1 species